UGCUGUGACCAAUCAGUGCCUUUACUACUCUCGCCGUGAUUUAGGGGUCAUCCGUGAAUAACACUUCACGCUGAUGAAUGGCUCUUGCCGGCUUUCGGCUCUGAUGAGGGGUCUGCCCGCCGCCGAUUGAAAACACUAAUGAACUUACUGCGCCAUUUGAAAUUCACACGCACCAACAAAAUGGGGGGUGGGCAUUUCAGGUCAGCUGAGUCACCCGAGGAGGUGGCAGUGCAAGACACUGCCGGGAAGACGGAUUCCGAGGCAGAAGGGUGUAAUUAAGGAUUUCCACCCCCGGUAGGCGGCCCGUCCUUUGCAGAGCCUCUGAAAAUGACCCGCGCCUUCCUUUCCACAGUGUUCUUUCGUCCGAGACCGAAAAGCGCAAAUGACCUUUGGACAGGGAAGGGAGGCAGUAAACACUCAGACUUCCUUACCAGCCCCUGGUGGGCACUGCAGCAGAACAAUUGUCUGCCCCCCAGGUUCAAGCACCUAGGCCUCCGCCCCGCAUCACCUGGCCAGGGGCGGACCCGGGAGUCCUCCGAAGGCUCCACUCCCCACUUUUACUACUCUUCUUUCCUCUCCAUUCUCCCCUCAGAUUAGCGGCCGGACACUGUCCCUGCCUCGAUUUUGUUUGCUGUGGGAGGGAAAAAAAAAGUUUGCUGCUCCUCCCAAGACACUGGCCACUUUCUACUCACUGAAGUUCCCACCGCAGCGCUGGCUCCCGGCUCCCUAGCUCCCGCCCCCUGUCUGCAGGAAAGCCCUCCCCCGGAGCUUCCGAAACUGCUGGAGGUUCCAGAGUUUUGUAGCUCCGAAUGGGCGACCUGAGCCGAACCGCUCUCUGGCUGGGUGGUCGGCGGGAUCCUUCAGGCUCCUUUCGGGUCCGGGACGGGGCGGCGGCAGAGGUGGGGCGUGCGUGCUUGGGGCUGCCGAGUGAGUGCGGCUCCCUGGUGCGCGCCCGAGCAUCUCCCCGCCCUCUCCUGGGACCAGCAGUCUGCCCGUGGAGGGCUAGGAGCCCGCGACCAGGCCUGCCCCGGCCGUCGCCAACCUGUCCUUGGAAGCGUGGCGGAGACUGGUGCGCUCUCAGCCUCGUCGCGCCAGCCGCCUCGCGCCACCCUCCACUUUCAGCUUCAGAGCAGAGGAUUCCGCCGACCUCCACCUGUACCUGUACUCGGCCGUUAGGAAAUCCACUUGCAUUUUUAACUACCGUGCAGAACCAGAAACAGAUCGAGCACUGGGAGAACAAGGACGACGCCUCCUAGGAAAGCCUGAACCUUUAUGUUAGUUUAUCCAAAGUUUGGGCUAGAAGUGAGGAGAAUCCCUAAACUCGAGGUGGUGUGCCCAGACCCACAGCCCGUGUUCCCGAAGUUGCUAAGUGCCCGAGCGCAGCGCGUUAAGUAGAGAAGUCUUGGUAGUAAGCGAACCCGACCCGGCUCUCGGGGCGCUAGUGACGGAAAGCAGCACGCAUAUCUUUGCGGGAAGAAUCUAGAGUCGCCCUGGGAUAGAUCCAUCUCCUUCUGCCACUGAAUUUCACACUUGAAAAAGAUAAGGUCAUGGGGGCGGAUGAAUGAUAUCCCUCACUCAUUUAGCCAUUCUUAUUAUUAUAUAAAAAAAAGGCUUGUCAAUUAUGAAGGUGUGUCCCAGAUAUUACAUGAAGAUCAUGCAAACUACUUGAAAUUUGAAUCCGGACAUGAUCGUAAGGAAACUCUUUCAUAAAGCACUUUUGUGGCCUAGUUCCCACACACACACAAAAGUAUUAGGUCUUUAAAACUUUUCCAAGUAGUAAGUGAGACUCCCUCUUACUGUCUACGAAUACACAAUAAAGAGAUGAGACACUGCCCCAAUCCUAAAGAGGCCAGAACUGAAGUGCUACAUUGUGUGAGUUAGGGGAUGCUUCUUUUUUCCAGCUCUUUUUUCUAGAAUCCUCAUUACAGCUAACGCUGGUAAUAAAGGUAGGAAAACAAUAGAACUCAUAAAACUUAGAAAUGGUAAUAAAUCUUGGCUCCUGUCUCUAGCCCAGUUCCUUCUUACAUGAGAUUCAAAGUUUUUCAGUAUGCAAUGCUGAACGUUCACACUAUGGUUGCAAAA
rnacentral:lncRNA from 1 species